UACGUAGGGUGCGAGCGUUAAUCGGAAUUACUGGGCGUAAAGCGUGCGCAGGCGGUUCGCUAAGACCGAUGUGAAAUCCCCGGGCUUAACCUGGGAACUGCAUUGGUGACUGGCGGGCUAGAGUGUGGCAGAGGGGGGUAGAAUUCCACGUGUAGCAGUGAAAUGCGUAGAGAUGUGGAGGAAUACCGAUGGCGAAGGCAGCCCCCUGGGUCAAGACUGACGCUCAUGCACGAAAGCGUGGGGAGCAAAUAGG
rnacentral:rRNA from 1 species